rnacentral:lncRNA from 1 species
UCUGCUGUGACAUUUUGUUCAGUGCUGCCGAGGAUUUUGUGAGGGAGGCACCCCAUUUUGCAGAGGGAAGGGAGCCUGUGGGGACCACAGCAGUGAAUAUGAAAGCCUAGAGCGCAGUCUGCCUCUCUCUGGUACCAAAGCCUGUAAUUGUCACUUCCAUACUCUCCAUAAGACACGUUCAUACGUUCAACCGAACAUUUAUUGAGCACCUGCUAUGUGCUAAGGGUAGAGCAGUAAAUGAAUCAAGCAAAAAUUCUUUACAUUUCACUGGGGCUGACAAACCCAAACAAGGAAGAGGUGUAGUGCUUCAGAGAAAACAGCAGGAAACAGCCCAGGGAAUGCUGGGGAGUGUAAUUUUAAAUAGGGUGGCCAGGGAAGGCGGAGCUGGAAGGCGGCAUCUGAGAAUAAACCUGAGAUGGUGAGGAGGAGCCCUGUGGAUACUGAAGGAAACACUCUGGGCUGUUCUGGAGGAGCAGCAGGUACAAAGGCCCCGGGGGUGGGAGUUAAGCUGGUGUGUUUGAAGAACAGUGAGGAGAUAACAGGCAUUUCCCCAAAUGCGUUGAAUGGGUCGGUAGACAGUUGGCAUCAAAAAGGUUCCAAGGUCGAAUAGCCUGGGACAUGCUUAGUUAAGGCAAGGCAAACACAUUGCUUUACUACAAGACUUCUGGGAGCCUUCAGCAUGCUGCUGUUCAUCAGGACCCUUCAAGGCUGGAAGGAAAGAAAGGACCUAGCAUUUCCCAAACAUAUUUAUCUCAGAGCUCACACCUCCUGGAGUAUCUUGGGUGGGGGAUGAACGCUGGGCAGGAAAUGGGUAUGCUAAGUAAAGCUUUGGAGAUGGUUAGCGGGCCCACACCAGAUCAGGUGCUGAGGGCCGUUAGAGUCUAAACCAGAUUCAAGCACAAUCUUAGUAUGACAGUUGGGAAGACAGAUGGCUCAUGGAGGUCCAUGUGAUAGGGAAGCUGGGCAACCCCAGGGGCUCAUCCCAGCCUGGACUUGACACUUUGGUCUCUGUUUUUACCUAAAAGAGCCAGAAGUGCUAUCAUGAAAAUAUCUUUGGUGCUGUAUUUCCCUACAAGCAGACAAGGCAGCAGUGCAGCCCAGGAGCCUGGAGAUGUCAGCGCUCUGAUGGCCCAUAGGAGGGGUUAAAGCUGCCGGCACAGAACUUAACCACGGAGCCAGCUCUGCAUUAUCCGAGGUCACAGGGCCUGGGGAGAUGGAGGAAAGUGAUAUCCCCCAGCCUCACAUCUUAUUUUUUCACUUCAUUCCCCAUCAAGCCCUUUACUUGACCUCCUACCAAGUAGCACCCUGGAUUGAUCGGAGCCUCCUCUCUCAAGCUGGGGCCUUCCUGGUCCCUUGGAGACGAAAUCUUCAACGCCAGGCCUGGCAAAUGGGUGAAAGAUGGAACCCGCUGCUGAGUGCACCACUUCAAGUGACCACCAGGAGCAGCAGAGUCUCAGGUGGCAGGAUAAGGUGUAGUGUCAACCUCAGGCUCCAGAAAAGCUCUGUGCCCUGCGCGACAGCCGUGCAUCUCAGCAACACAGCCAGGAGUCCGCUCCCGGACCAGGCUUCUCAGGUUUGUGGUGGUGGUGGUGGUGGUGUUGUUUUGUUUUGUUUUGUUUUGUUUUUAAUUUUGAGAUGGAAUUUCACUCUUGUCACCCAGGCUGGAGUGCAAUGGCGCAUUAUUGGCUCAAUGCAACAUCUGCCUCCUGGGUUCAAGCGAUUCUCCCCCCUCAGCCUCCCGAGUAGCUGGGAUUACAGGUGCCCGCCACCAUACCCGGCUAAUUUUUUUUAUUAUUAUUUUUAGUAGAGACGGGGUUUUGUCAUGUUAGCCAGGCUGGUCACAAACUCCAGACCUCAGAUGAUCUGCCUGCCUCGGCCUCCCAAAGUGCUGGGAUUACAGGCGUGAGCCACCAUGCCCAGCCGGCUUCUCAGCUUUAAUGUGUGUGUCUCACCUGGGAUGUUGUGAAAACGAAGGCUCUGAUCUCUCAGGACACUGGGAAAGGAGCCAGUCCCCUGAAGAGAACACUCUGGUCAGUUGGUGGAGGCCAGUGGGAAGCCAUCAGACCUGCUUUCCAGGAGGGGUGAAGGGUUGGUGCAGGGUGCAAGGGUGGCUGUAGCCAGAAGCAGGACCAGA